UACGGGGGGGGCAAGCGUUGUUCGGAAUUACUGGGCGUAAAGGGUUCGUAGGUGGCCAACUAAGUCGGACGUGAAAUCCCUCAGCUUAACUGGGGAACUGCGUCUGAGACUGGAUGGCUUGAGUGCAGGAGAGGAACGCGGAAUUCCAGGUGUAGCGGUGAAAUGCGUAGAUAUCUGGAGGAACACCGGUGGCGAAGGCGGCGUCCUGGACUGCAACUGACACUGAUGAACGAAAGCCAGGGGAGCAAACGGG
rnacentral:rRNA from 1 species